ACUCAUGAGUCCUUCCGCAGUGUACACUUAUCGAAGCCUUUGCAGCCCCGCAAGGGGUAGGCCCGGCACGACUCUAAACCAGCCCGGGCCGCCAUGCAAGUCGGCGCCUCCGCCCCCUCCCGGGGGGGCGGGCCGCCGGCGACACUCUCGAACUGCCGGGGACACCCUAAAGCCAAUCGCACCAACCCGCGGCGGGAAACCGCCCGGGGGCCCGUGGUAACGACACGGGGGAUGGUAACAGACGAUUUGGAUACCGCCCGCGCUCCGGCGCGGACGACCAUGGGCAAUCCGCAGCGAAGCCCCUAAGUCCCCCCCGGGGGAUAUGGGGAACGUCCACAGACUAAGUGGAAGUGGGUGGGACGCGCCGCCGUCCCGCUUAAGAUAUAGUCGGGCCCCCCGGGAGACCGGGGGGGUGAGUACACUGCUCCAACCCCCAACCCGUUCCGUAGGUGAACCUGCGGAAGGAUCAUUACCGAGUGAGGGCCCUCUGGGUCCAACCUCCCACCCGUGUUUAUCGUACCUUGUUGCUUCGGCGGGCCCGCCUCACGGCCGCCGGGGGGCAUCCGCCCCCGGGCCCGCGCCCGCCGAAGACACCAUUGAACUCUGUCUGAAGAUUGCAGUCUGAGCGAUUAGCUAAAUCAGUUAAAACUUUCAACAACGGAUCUCUUGGUUCCGGCAUCGAUGAAGAACGCAGCGAAAUGCGAUACGUAAUGUGAAUUGCAGAAUUCAGUGAAUCAUCGAGUCUUUGAACGCACAUUGCGCCCCCUGGUAUUCCGGGGGGCAUGCCUGUCCGAGCGUCAUUGCUGCCCUCAAGCACGGCUUGUGUGUUGGGCCCCGCCCCCCGGUUCCGGGGGGCGGACCCGAAAGGCAGCGGCGGCACCGCGUCCGGUCCUCGAGCGUAUGGGGCUUUGUCACCCGCUCUGUAGGCCCGGCCGGCGCCCGCCGGCGACCCCAAAUCAAUCUAUCCAGGUUGACCUC
rnacentral:misc_RNA from 1 species